rnacentral:rRNA from 1 species
GACGUAGGGCGCGAGCGUUGUCCGGAUUUAUUGGGCGUAAAGAGCUCGUAGGCGGCUUGUCGCGUCGACUGUGAAAUCCCGCGGCUCAACUGCGGGUCUGCAGUCGAUACGGGCAGGCUAGAGUUCGGUAGGGGAGACUGGAAUUCCUGGUGUAGCGGUGAAAUGCGCAGAUAUCAGGAGGAACACCAGUGGCGGAAGGCGGUGCUCUGGGCCGGAACUGACGCUGAGGAGCGAAAGCGUGGGGAGCAAACAGG